rnacentral:rRNA from 1 species
GACGAACGCUGGCGGCGUGCCUAAUACAUGCAAGUAGAACGCACAGUUUAUACCUUAGCUUGCUCCACCAUAUACUGUGUGUUGCGAACGGGUGAGUAACGCGUAGGUAACCUGCCUGGUAGCGGGGGAUAACUAUUUGACACGAUAGCUAAUAUCUCAUAAUAUUGAUUAUUCCAUGAUAAUUUUUUGAAAGUUGUUAUUUCAUCACUACCAGAUGGACCUGCGUUGUAUUAGCUAGGAGGUGAGGUAACGGCUCACCUAGGGGACGAUACAUAACCGACCUGAGAGGGUGAGCGGCAACACUGGGACUGAGACACGGCCCAGAAUCCUACGGGAGGCAGCAGGAGGGAAUCUUCGGCAAUGGACGAAAGGCUGACCGAGCAACGCCGCGUGAGUGAAGAAGGUUGUCGGAUCGUAAAGCUCUGUUGUAAGAGAAGAACGGGUGUGAGAGUGGAAAGUUCACACUGUGACGGUAUCUUACCAGAAAGGGACGGCUAACUACGUG